rnacentral:tRNA from 1 species
GGGGCACUAGCUCAAUGGAUAGAGUACCAGACUUCGAAUCUGUUGGUUCGGGGUUCGAAUCCCCGGUGCCUCGCCA